AUCCCAUGAUGAGGACAGGCGGCAACGUACUCCUGCAGACAUUCCCAUGCCUCAGGGAUGGACUCAUUCCUCAUCUGCUCGAAGCUUGAUAUUCUUCUGCGAAGGGC
rnacentral:snoRNA from 1 species